UACGGCCAGAUCCCGUUAAAACACCGGUUCCCGUACGAUCACCGAUGCUAAACAACGUUGUGCUUUGUCAGUAACUUAAUAGGUGACCGCGUGGGAAGAGCAAGUGCUGUAUG